AGAUCUGUAAGCUCAAAAUGGCAGAGCGCUCGUCUAUUAUGAUGGACGAGAGGUUGGUGGUUCGAAUCCACCCAGUUCUG
rnacentral:tRNA from 1 species